rnacentral:rRNA from 1 species
CAAGUAGAACGCUGAAGGAGGAGCUUGCUUCUCUGGAUGAGUUGCGAACGGGUGAGUAACGCGUAGGUAACCUGCCUGGUAGCGGGGGAUAACUAUUGGAAACGAUAGCUAAUACCGCAUAAUAGUAGAUGUUGCAUGACAUUUGCUUAAAAGGUGCAAUUGCAUCACUACCAGAUGGACCUGCGUUGUAUUAGCUAGUUGGUGGGGUAACGGCUCACCAAGGCGACGAUACAUAGCCGACCUGAGAGGGUGAUCGGCCACACUGGGACUGAGACACGGCCCAGACUCCGACGGGAGGCAGCAGUAGGGAAUCUUCGGCAAUGGACGGAAGUCUGACCGAGCAACGCCGCGUGAGUGAAGAAGGUUUUCGGAUCGUAAAGCUCUGUUGUAAGAGAAGAACGAGUGUGAGAGUGGAAAGUUCACACUGUGACGGUAUCUUACCAGAAAGGGACGGCUAACUACGUGCUAGCAGCCGCGGUAAUACGUAGGUCCCGAGCGUUGUCCGGAUUUAUUGGGCGUAAAGCGAGCGCAGGCGGUUAGAUAAGUCUGAAGUUAAAGGCUGUGGCUUAACCAUAGUACGCUUUGGAAACUGUUUAACUUGAGUGCAAGAGGGGAGAGUGGAAUUCCAUGUGUAGCGGUGAAAUGCGUAGAUAUAUGGAGGAACACCGGUGGCGAAAGCGGCUCUCUGGCUUGUAACUGACGCUGAGGCUCGAAAGCGUGGGGAGCAAACAGGAUUAGAUACCCUGGUAGUCCACGCCGUAAACGAUGAGUGCUAGGUGUUAGACCCUUUCCGGGGUUUAGUGCCGCAGCUAACGCAUUAAGCACUCCGCCUGGGGAGUACGACCGCAAGGUUGAAACUCAAAGGAAUUGACGGGGGCCCGCACAA